AUGGAAGAGGUCCUAGUGGACUUUACAACACAUAUAUAAUUAAGGCAUUGCCACCUACUUCGUGGCAUCUAACCAGUGCUUUGC
rnacentral:ncRNA from 1 species